GUCAAAUUUGGCAUUAGAAAACAUGUGGAAGUUAACCUAAUUGGACUGCCACGGUGCCACCAUCAUACAUGAUUGGUAAUUGUGAUGGUUUUUAGUUGCCUUUUGUACUGAUUCAUUAAGAUUACAAUAGGCUUUGACUUUAUCUUGUGUGGUGUUCAGUAUCUUGAAAAUGAAAUGGUUCAUCUUGUAUUAUUGCUUGUUUUCAUAUCAAGAAUUUUUUAGCCUAAAUAAAGUAGUAAUUGGCUUCAUCUAUAAAAAGAAAAGAAUUGGGAUAAUUUUCCUAUAUGGUUGUUGAUACGAACCUGCCUACCUCCGCCUCAAAAGUUAACUCACAAUAGGAGAUUUGCAAACCUAUAUAUAUA
rnacentral:misc_RNA from 1 species